rnacentral:lncRNA from 1 species
GGGCUGGGGUCUGAACAACAGCGCUCAGGACCAGACUCGGGAGGUUUCUCAGGGAGAGGAUCAGGUUGGGAACCCUGGACAUGCCCUGAGGCCACAGCCCAGAGACAAGGAUACCUGAGCUGUCUCACCAGCCUACGGAAAAUGAAGCAGAUAAAUCCUUCAGGACAAAAGAUGCAACACAAAUGGAAAAGGAGUAAGGAGAGAAAAAGGAAUUUAUCUU